CUUUUUCUUAGAACCCAACCACCCUGCUGUGAGGAAGCACAGUCACUCAGUGAAGAGGCCCGUGUGGACAGGAAGGAACAACCAGCGCCACCUUGCCUGCCGUGAUAAUGCAUCAUUCUCAGUCCAGAUAGAAGUCACUGAAAAAUGAUGUGACGACCCAAUGAAGACCAGGUCCACGGAGAUGCUUCUUUUUCAGUUGAGGAUUCAGGCUGGUUCUUCAAGGUAAGUUGGCUGAUUUGUGUUUGAAUCCCCGGCGUCCAUACUUAGCACACGUACAACAGUCCUUAUACUAUGGCCACCGUCACUCUCCAAGGAAAAUGUGCAAGGGGAGUUUGAAUCGGUCAAGGGCUAAAAUCCACUCUGAAAAAGGACACCUUCUCCUUCAUUUGAUGCUGAAAACAUGAAUAGGUGAUUUUAGUCUCUGGGGCUACUCACAAAUAGCCUGUGUUCAAAGCAUUUAAGGAAGAAUCAAUGAAUUUUUCACAAAAGUCACA